rnacentral:rRNA from 1 species
AUUGAACGCUGGCGGCAUGCUUUACACAUGCAAGUCGAACGGUAACAGGCCGCAAGGUGCUGACGAGUGGCGAACGGGUGCGUAAUGCAUCGGAACGUGCCCAGUCGUGGGGGAUAACUACUCGAAAGAGUAGCUAAUACCGCAUACGAUCUAUGGAUGAAAGCGGGGGACCGUAAGGCCUCGCGCGAUUGGAGCGGCCGAUGUCAGAUUAGGUAGUUGGUGGGGUAAAGGCUCACCAAGCCAACGAUCUGUAGCUGGUCUGAGAGGACAACCAGCCACACUGGGACUGAGACACGGCCCAGACUCCUACGGGAGGCAGCAGUGGGGAAUUUUGGACAAUGGGCGCAAGCCUGAUCCAGCAAUGCCGCGUGCAGGAAGAAGGCCUUCGGGUUGUAAACUGCUUUUGUACGGAACGAAACGGCUCUGGUUAAUACCCGGGGCUAAUGACGGUACCGGAAGAAUAAGCACCGGCUAACUACGUG